UAGUUUCAUUUCAUGCUAUGGACAUGGAACGAAUGAUGAGAUGGUUAGAUGACUCAUUAUGCGUUUAGAAUGUGACGGAAGUGAUAGUUCAUAAGGAAAGUGGAGAUUUGAGAUUUUGACAUUUGUGCAAUUGAAAUUUUAUAAUACAAUGGAUCCAGCAUUGCUUAGAGAGCGAGAGCUCUUUAAGAAAAGAGCUCUUACAACACCAUCGGUGGAGAAAAGAAAGAAGGAACAGGAGAAAGAUACCACACGAGAUGAGCCAUUCAAAAAAAAGCCAAAACUAUCCUCCGUGUCUAGCGGACCCAAACUAGACAUGGUUAACUACAAAACCAUGUCUGGCAGUACGCAAUAUAAAUUUGGUGUGUUAGCCAAAAUAGUAAAGCAUAUGAAAGCUAGGCAUCAAGAAGGAGAUGAUCACCCUUUAACGUUAGAAGAAAUCUUGGAUGAAACAAAUCAAUUAGAUGUUGGAUCCAAGGUAAAACAAUGGCUUCAAACAGAAGCUCUCAUUAAAAACCCAAAGAUAGAAGUAACUUCGGAUGGUAGAUUUGUAUUCAAAGCUAUGUAUAAAAUUAAAGAUAAAAAAUCUUUAUUGAGAUUAUUAAAACAACAAGAUUUAAAAGGUCUUGGCGGAAUACUAUUAGAAGAUAUACAAGAAAGUCUGCCACACUGUGAUAAGCAUUUAAAGAGUUUACAAAAUGAGAUAUUAUUUAUAACAAGACCCUUGGACAAGAAAAAGAUUGUAUUUUAUAAUGAUAAAACAGCACAGUUUCCAAUAGACGAUGAAUUUCAAAAGUUGUGGAGGGCUGUUGCAGUCGAUGCAAUGGAUGAUCAAAAAAUCGAUGAAUACUUAGAGAAACAAGGAAUACGAUCUAUGCAGGAUCAUGGCCCCAAAAAACCAGCCCCGAUUAAACGAAAGAAACCUGUUAGUAAGAGAAAACAGUUCAAAAAACCAAGAGACAACGAACAUUUAGCAGAUGUUUUAGAAACGUACGAUGAUACGAAAUAAAUACGAAAUGAUCCUGAAACUUUGUAAAGAGACUAAAUCUAUGACCUAAGUGUUAAAAGAGAGAUAAGAAUGUUUUAUUAUCAUAACUUUUUACGAUCAUUAUGUAAGAGAAAUUGUCUAUUUUGGAGUUAACAUGUUAGCGUUACAUAUCACAGUGAUAUAAUAAAUAAGAAAUAUUUAUUGUCAUAAUUUCAUUGUUACAUUUGUAAUCAGCCUCACAAAGUGAACAGAUACAAUUUUCAUAUGUAUGUUAUAGCAAGAUAGGACGUGAAAUUUUGAUUCAAAUAUUUAUAUCUUGCGUCAAAUUUUUACAUACAUUAAUUGAUAUUAAAACUAUAAAUU